rnacentral:snoRNA from 1 species
AGGUCCAUCAACAACAAAUAAAAUAUUUAAAAAAAAAGAGAAAAGAUAUUUCUAAUGCACUAAAUUAACAUUUGGAGGUAAACUGGCAGCAUGACUAACUUGGUCAAGCUGUCGGUCACCUUCAGACAAGU